rnacentral:lncRNA from 1 species
AAAGCGAGAGGUGACAGGGUAAAAGCCUAGCCAAGUCAGGACCAGCUAGGUGUCCACCUGAUCUGCUGUGAUCCAGCCUUGCGCGACUUAGUAAGCAAGCUGUGCUAAUUUUUUUAUUAAAUCAAUGCCUCAAGUUCUUUUUCUC